GCUGGUGUGGCUCAGUGGUUGAGCCUCGACCUGGGAACCAGAAGGUCACGGGUUCGAUUCCCGGUCAAGGGCA
rnacentral:tRNA from 1 species